rnacentral:misc_RNA from 1 species
GAUGAAGAACGUAGCGAAAUGCGAUAAGUAGUGUGAAUUGCAGAAUUCAGUGAAUCAUCGAAUCUUUGAACGCACAUUGCGCCCGCCAGUAUUCUGGCGGGCAUGCCUGUCCGAGCGUCAUUUCAACCCUCGAACCCCUCCGGGGGGUCGGCGUUGGGGACCUCGGGAGCCCCUAAGACGGGAUCCCGGCCCCGAAAUACAGUGGCGGUCUCGCCGCAGCCUCUCCUGCGCAGUAGUUUGCACAACUCGCACCGGGAGCGCGGCGCGUCCACGUCCGUAAAACACCCAACUUCUGAAAUGUUGACCUCGGAUCAGGUAGGAAUACCCGCUGAACUUAAGCAUAUCAAAAGCGGAGGA